UACGUAGGGUGCGAGCGUUUGUCCGGAAUUAUUGGGCGUAAAGAGCUCGUAGGCGGUGUGUCACGUCGGCCGUGAAAACCUGCAGCUUAACUGUGGGCGUGCGGUCGAUACGGGCAUCACUGGAGUUCGGCAGGGGAGACUGGAAUUCCUGGUGUAGCGGUGAAAUGCGCAGAUAUCGGGAGGAACACCGGUGGCGAAGGCGGUUCUCUGGGCCUGACCUGACGCUGAGGAGCGAAAGCGUGGGGAGCGAACAGG
rnacentral:rRNA from 1 species